AGUCUGAGAGCAUUACCUGUGUUUGUUUUCUGAUGGAGUGACUGGACUGGGCUGGUUUGGAAACAGAGUUAGGGGCUGGGAACUCGACGGAGGCGCUGGAGGCGCUCGAAGAGAACUCAGUUGAGUGACAGGUACUGCAGGGUGAAAAACUUAGGGGAGCUCUGCAGGAGAGGUGGUGGAGGGUGCUGACGGCACGGGAUCCAUCUCUGCUCCUGCUGGUGUUUGUUUUCUAUCUACGGAGUUUUUGCCUGCAGUUUGUCUGAGUGCCACAUGGGGUGCAGUGCACAAGGUGGCCAGAAGAGGGCACCAGAGUCCGUGCAAUGGGAGCUUCAUACAGAUGGUUGCAAGCUGCCUUGUGGGUUCUGGGAACCAAACCCAGAGUCCCCUGGAAAAUCAGCCAGUAUUCUAACUGCUGAGCCACCUCUCAUUGUGUGCGUCUGGAUAGCUAACAGGGCUCCGAGGUGUUUAUGGGCCCCCGAAGUUUACACAGUGUUCUGGCAUUUAAACUUUUUAUUAAACCCCCUGCUUUGGAUGUGUCAAUCACACGUCAGGGAAGGCCCCAUGCCGAGGCCAACACAAAACAAAAUCAAUAGUACUUAAAAAAAAAAAAAAAAA
rnacentral:lncRNA from 1 species